ACCAAUCAAAUUACUCAGUUUAAGCCUCAGCUGGGUGGUACUUGUACUAACUUUUUUUCAGUAUGCCCUGAAGCAGGACACAAAGAUCAGGGUCAUUUGACUUUCUCUCUUUACAGACCUUUGUUCUCCCAGCUGUUAACUAUUGUUAGUGCAUUGGUGAGGCUCAGGUGAUGAAAUAACUUCUGUAUUACAGCGCUCAAGCGUGUAUAGAGGAUUCAUGUGGAGUAGUAAGUGAAAUAUGUGGUUUGGAUUUUUAAUAAGCUCUGUCUUCUCCAUGUGGGAAUGGCACUUGUAUUUGAAAUCUCCUGACAUGAUAACUAACGAGCUUAUCAUUCAUUCUUGAGGAGACAGAGGCGUAAUGAGGAAUUGACAUCAAGAAAAACAAAGUAAAACAUGAUUUAAUCUGAAUACUGAAAAUCUGUGCAUCUAAAUGCAAAUACAACUGUAGGCUGUGCAGGAGUUCUGUAUGCAUUUAAUAUUAACAUGAGUGACAGGAGCAAGAUGAAUAGAAGCUAAGGAUGUGUAACGAGUUCAUCCUGAAGUUGAAAGCAUAUGCUAUUUUGUAUUCAUUACUGCUGUUCACUGUAAUAGCUAUAUAAAACUAGUACGUGCACUGUAACACCUGCACAACUGUGACUUUAUUUUGCUGCAUAGGCAUAUACAGGGUGGUAACUUCAUUAUUACAGUUCAUCCCCAUUUUGGACUGAGAUGUUGAGUGGUUCUCGGACACCUGGCCAGCUGUCUGGAGGAGAUAAACCAACCCAUUUAGCAGCUCUUGCAUUACUCUUUGCACCAGAGCUGAAGCCUGUAAUUCUUUACAUAUUUUGUAAUCAGAUUCAGAGGCCAAUACACUCUCACAGGAGUCAACACAGCAACAGUUUCUCCAAGCUUGCUGUCGCUUCACUGUUAGUCCAUAAAAUGCGUUAUUACAGCAUGUUAAAUAAUGCUGAGCCAGUUGAAAAAAUGGCGAGGAUUUUGCCUGGAUAUGAGGAAUAUACUAUUUGAGAGCUGCGUGCACAGUGGAGAAAAGACAGGUUGUACUGACAGUCAUUUAGGUCAGAUUACUCCGUAUGAUGCAAGCACUGCCAUCUUGUGGAUUAUCUGAGGACGUGGAGAGUUCUGAGUUAUUUAAUAAACGUAGAACUUUGUAAAAUGAUGUGAAAAUUUCUAAAUGUAUUUACUUAAGAAAUGUAAAAAAUUCCAAAAUAAUGCUUGCAAGAAGUAAAUUUUAGUAUUGUUACAUUCAAGGAACACGUGUGAACAGAACUUUAUUUCUGAGACUAGUGGAUGAAAUGUUUGUUAGUUCUUUAGUUGAUUGUGUGUUUUCAUCAUGUUAUAAAGCUUGGUUUCUUCUUCCUCUUGUUGCUUUUUGUAAGCAAAGGAACAUGUUUUCUGCCUAGCGCAUUUAAAAAUAAAGA